GGGUAGCCAUUCGUACGCCGUAAGGAAACUAUACAGCAGACGCGAUCAUUUUCUCUGACGUCUUCCAAUCAAAACUAACAUCAACAACAGGAAAUCACGGAAAGUCAUCAUGGUACCAACACGCAUUAUCUUGAUUUUAAUUGUCUUGUUGUCGUCAAUCUCCCUACUGGAAUCUUUUUUAUUUGGUCUGUACGGCGGCUAUCUUGUCGAACCCGGAAAACGCUUCAAUUUGUUAAAUCUCAUAUCGAGAAGAAUGACUGACACCAGUACAAACAACUGAGACUAUCCUUAUACAUAUGUAUUUAUGAUUCAACUAAUGCAUUUAAGAAUAUGUCAAUAAACACGUUUAGUGUAAAUCACUAAAUUGUAAAACAGA